rnacentral:rRNA from 1 species
AUUGAACGCUGGCGGCAUGCCUUACACAUGCAAGUCGAACGGCAGCACGGGAGCAAUCCUGGUGGCGAGUGGCGAACGGGUGAGUAAUAUAUCGGAACGUGCCCAGUAGUGGGGGAUAACUGCUCGAAAGAGCAGCUAAUACCGCAUACGACCUGAGGGUGAAAGGGGGGGAUCGCAAGACCUCUCGCUAUUGGAGCGGCCGAUAUCAGAUCAGCUAGUUGGUGGGGUAAAGGCCUACCAAGGCAACGAUCUGUAGUUGGUCUGAGAGGACGACCAGCCACACUGGGACUGAGACACGGCCCAGACUCCUACGGGAGGCAGCAGUGGGGAAUUUUGGACAAUGGGCGCAAGCCUGAUCCAGCAAUGCCGCGUGCAGGAAGAAGGCCUUCGGGUUGUAAACUGCUUUUGUCAGGGAAGAAACCCUCUAGGUUAAUACCCUUGGGGGGAUGACGGUACCUGAAGAAUAAGCACCGGCUAACUACGUGCCAGCCGCCGCCGUAAGAC